rnacentral:misc_RNA from 1 species
GAAAUGCGAUAAGUAAUGUGAAUUGCAGAAUUCCGUGACUCAUCGAAAUUUUGAACGCAUAUUGCACUUGAAGGUAUUCCUUCAAGUAUGCUUGUUUGAGUGUCUGUGCAUUUAUCUCUUUAAUUCAUCAUUAAUCCUUUUGGGUUGAUGCUCGUUCAUGUCUCUUUUUAAGCAGUGGAGAAAGACCUAGCUUAAAAAAGAGUGUUUGAUGGCGGGCAAUCAUUAAUGAUUUGUUAAAGGACUUUGCUUGGUUUUCUUUUACACCAAGUCAAAUGCAUUUGUGACUCUAUGUCUUUUCAUGUUUGAAAAAAGAGAUUAGAGUGCUAAUUCAUGUUGAAUGUCAAGUCUUUUUUGACUUGUUCAAUUAAUACGGGUUUGCAUCUUUACUCUCUUUUGAAAAACAACAAGGCAUAUGGCGGCCACAUUAAAGAGACCUAGUCUCUUUAAGAAACAACUAGUGCCAUUUUGGACCUCAAAUCAAGCAAGGCUACCCGCUGAACUUAAGC